rnacentral:rRNA from 1 species
CGGGGUGGGUAACGCGUGGGUAACCUGCCUCAUACAGGGGGAUAACAGUUAGAAAUGGCUGCUAAUACCGCAUAAGCACACAGCUUCGCAUGGAGCAGUGUGAAAAACUCCGGUGGUAUGAGAUGGACCCGCGUCUGAUUAGCUAGUUGGUAAGGUAACGGCUUACCAAGGCGACGAUCAGUAGCCGACCUGAGAGGGUGACCGGCCACAUUGGGACUGAGACACGGCCCAA